CCUACGGGAGGCAGCAGUGAGGAAUAUUGGUCAAUGGACGCAAGUCUGAACCAGCCAAGCCGCGUGCAGGAAGACGGCUCUAUGAGUUGUAAACUGCUUUUGUACGAGGGUAAAGGCAGAUACGCGUAUCUGACUGAAAGUAUCGUACGAAUAAGGAUCGGCUAACUCCGUGCCAGCAGCCGCGGUAAUACGGAGGAUUCAAGCGUUAUCCGGAUUUAUUGGGUUUAAAGGGUGCGUAGGCGGUCGGAUAAGUUAGAGGUGAAAUCCCGAGGCUCAACUUCGGAAUUGCCUCUGAUACUGUUCGGCUAGAGCGUAGUAGAGGUAGGCGGAAUGUAUGGUGUAGCGGUGAAAUGCUUAGAGAUCAUACAGAACACCGAUGGCGAAGGCAGCUUACCAGGCUACUUCUGACGUUGAGGCACGAAAGCGUGGGGAGCAAACAGGAUUAGAUACCCCUGUAGUC
rnacentral:rRNA from 1 species